GUCGAUGAUGAGUGCGGAGGCUGCGGUGAAAAUGAGGAGUGUCAUGACGGAGAAUGCUUCUGUAAGGAAGGAUAUGAUAUGGAUCAAUUCAAGAAAUGCUACUCAACAGAAGGAGAUAACUGCGCCUCCUCGCUGCAGCUCAUUUGUGGCUUGUGGAUGUUUCUUCUCAAUUUUUUGCUUCACUAAACAAUUCGACAUUGGAUUUGGAGUCACCACAGCAACACCAGGCAAACUCUUGUUUCUGAGGUUGAACUCUGGAAAAUUAGUCGACAACAUUUUAUUUGAUCCCUUGAAAAUUAAAUGAUCAUGACCACGUA